rnacentral:lncRNA from 1 species
UGUUUUCUAGAGUUUUCAUUCAUCUAUAAAAAGGGAUAGCAAACCAGCAGCAAAGAUCAUCAAGGAUCAUAGAUUCCUUCACCAGCACCGAAGUUGCCUUCUUUCUUUUCUUCUCUUUGUGUCUUCUUUGCAAGCCAUGAGUGGUUAAAUACACAAUUUCUAGUUGAAGUUGGAGAAAUUUCAAUUUAUUUAUGAAUUGGAAGAUUUGAAACUCUAUUGUCAAUCUUUUAUUUUUCAGUAUUUAUGCAACUUCAUUCUUCAUAUCAUUGUUGCCUUGCUGUUAGAAUCAAUAGGCCUUGUUGCUUUUAAUUGCAAAGUAAUAUAUUGUCAGUUUGAAUAUUUUAGGUCCAUAAUUACUUAGAUUGUUCAAACACAAGUAACAAUUAGUGUAACAACUAAGAGGUUGCAUGAUCUAACUCACCAUGCG